CUUGAAUCCGGAGGGAAGUGGAGGUUUCAGAUCAAGAAGGAAGGAAGGAAAAAGAAAUAGACUUUGCAAGUUAGUAGUUCUGUGACUGAAUUCCAGUGUGUGUAAGACCCUCAGGCAUUCCUCCGGUCCAAACCAAAACCUGUCAGCGAAGGAUGAUUUCACAGGAGCAAACCAAGACUAUAUUUCCAGUUUUAUAGCCUGCCUUGGGGUCUUGGACUAGGAAGCUAACAGACACAGAAAGCUGAGAUUGUGCAAAGACAGGAUCAACCAUCCACUCUGAGCUCUGGGAGCACCUGAAAUGCGAUUUGAUGUCACCACCACCGUCCGCAGUUCAGUCACAGUUCAUGUGUGGAACUUAACCUGCACAGACGUGAGUUUGCUGAGACCCAAGACCUUUUGCACUGAGGAACACUAGAUAACACUUCAAUCCUAUGUGUGUGGGCCAUUUAAAAAAGCAAAACCACCACCAAAGAAAAGCAAAAAAUUACAAAGAUGUGGCGCUAAACAGACCAAGAAAUGGACCCUUGUUUACAGGUAUUCACCAUGAACGGCCGGGGAAAAAUCUUCAGGAUUAUGAAACCAGGCUGCUAUGGACUUCACUCUGAGUUUUUUUAAUUUCGAUUUUUUUAAAGCAUGUUAAUUUGAAUAAAUGGUUACUU